rnacentral:rRNA from 1 species
CCUACGGGAGGCAGCAGUGGGGAAUAUUGCACAAUGGGCGCAAGCCUGAUGCAGCCAUGCCGCGUGUGUGAAGAAGGCCUUCGGGUUGUAAAGCACUUUCAGCGGGGAGGAAGGCGUUAAGGUUAAUAACCUUGUCGAUUGACGUUACCCGCAGAAGAAGCACCGGCUAACUCCGUGCCAGCAGCCGCGGUAAUACGGAGGGUGCAAGCGUUAAUCGGAAUUACUGGGCGGAAAGCGCACGCAGGCGGUCUGUCAAGUCGGAUGUGAAAUCCCCGGGCUCAACCGGGGAACUGCAUUCGAAACUGGCAGGCUAGAGUCUUGUAGAGGGGGGUAGAAUUCCAGGUGUAGCGGUGAAAUGCGUAGAGAUCUGGAGGAAUACCGGUGGCGAAGGCGGCCCCCUGGACAAAGACUGACGCUCAGGUGCGAAAGCGUGGGGAGCAAACAGGAUUAGAUACCCUAGUAGUC